rnacentral:rRNA from 1 species
GUGGGGAAUAUUGCACAAUGGGCGCAAGCCUGAUGCAGCAAUGCCGCGUGUGUGAAGAAGGCCUGCGGGUUGUAAAGCACUUUUAUUGGGAAAGAAAAACCCGGAGCUAAUACCUCCGGCAUUGACGGUACCCAAAGAAUAAGCACCGGCUAACUCAGUGCCAGCAGCCGCGGUAAUACUGAGGGUGCGAGCGUUAAUCGGAAUUACUGGGCGUAAAGCGAGUGUAGGCGGUUACCUAAGUCGGAUGUGAAAGCCCCGGGCUUAACCUGGGAAUUGCAUUCGAUACUGGGUGACUGGAGUUUGGUAGAGGUAAGUGGAAUUCCGGGUGUAGCGGUGAAAUGCGUAGAUAUCCGGAGGAACAUCAGUGGCGAAGGCGGCUUACUGGACCAAAACUGACGCUGAGGCUCGAAAGCGUGGGUAGCAAACAGGAUUAGAUACCCGGGUAGUCC